rnacentral:rRNA from 1 species
UUCGCCGCCGGUGUUGUUGUGAGAAGUUCAUUAAACCUUAUCAUUUAGAGGAAGGAGAAGUCGUAACAAGGUUUCCGUAGGUGAACACGCGGAAGGAUCACUGAACACACGAUCUCGGAAAAACUUUGCGAACUGUCACUUUGUACCCCGAGGGAUCGUGCUGGGAGGCACGAUCGUCGGAGUCUCGAGUCGAGGGUGCAUGUGCGUCAGCCGUGAUCCUCCUGUUGGUGCGUGUUGGGGAUGAUAGACUCGGGUGCUCCGUCGGAAAACCCCCGACACGCGUGGGUCCGUGUUUGUUGGCAGCGAGCGGUCGGGGAGAGAGCAGGAGCCUCUCGAGUCGGUCGGACUUGGGAUGGCGAGGAGCCAUCCCGAGUCGGGCCGCAGGCGCAGCUCACUCCCCUGGCAGGUCGUUGCGGCGCUGGAGAUCCGGAGUGUUUUCCCCUCCUCCGUGGGAUGGGAGCUGGGAUGCUCCUGGGCGGGCCUCCUCCACGAGGCUCGCCCACCGGAGACCCGCCCCCCCUUCCCUGCCCUUUUUCCUACCACCAAAAGAACUUUGAUGAAACCGUGAGUUGAUAGAUUUUAAGAAGACCAGGGUCUUGUGUCCGGGCAGCCCCCCCCUCUAGAGGGCAGGGCCACUCCGGCGCCGACCGAAGUCAACAAAAGAUACAAAAAAACAAAUGACUCUCAGCAACGGAUAUCUUGGCUCUUGCAACGAUGAAGAACGCAGCGAAAUGCGAUACCUAGUGUGAAUUGCAGAAUUCCGCGAAUCAUCGAGUUUUUGAACGCAAGUUGCGCCCGAGGCUUGUUCCAAGGGCAUGCCUGCCUGAGCGUCCGCUCCGACCCACCCACCAGCCUCCUGCCUCCCCCGCAAGGGGGGCGUGGGAGGCAAUUCAAGUGGAGUGGAACUGGUCGUCCGAGAACCCGCUCGGCUCUUCCUCUUGGGGGUGCCAGGGCAGGGCGUCGCGGUCGGCUGAAACACGAUGACCGUUUGUCAAGCGCGCGCUAGGGUCGCGGUGCGUAGCGAGAAGGUGCCAUUCGGCUCCCGCUCGUCGGGUUGGGAGACGGAUGUUCAUGUGUAAAGCGACGCAUCGCCCCUGCGCGGUCGAGAGUUGAGACUUGGCGGAAGGCAUGGGGACGACAGUGGACUUGCUUGGUGCAUCGUUCUCCCGCGAAGGGAAGACCCUUUGUGCAAGGGGUCUUUCCUGGGAGGGGUUGCGCAGGCGGGCCCACAGGCGUCACGUUGCUCGGACCUCAGAUCAGGCAAGACCACCCGCUGAGUUUAA